CCUACGGGAGGCAGCAGUAGGGAAUUUUGCGCAAUGGGCGAAAGCCUGACGCAGCAACGCCGCGUGAUCGAGACGCCCUUCGGGGUGUAAAGAUCUGUCAGUGGGGACGAAACUUGACGGUACCCACAGCGGAAGCACCGUCUAACUCCGUGCCAGCAGCCGCGGUAAUACGGGGGGUGCAAGCGUUGUCCGGAUUUACUGGGUGUAAAGGGAGCGUAGACGGCAGCACAAGUCUGGAGUGAAAUGCCGGGGCUUAACCCCGGAACUGCUUUGGAAACUGUGCAGCUAGAGUGCAGGAGAGGUAAGUGGAAUGCCUAGUGUAGCGGUGAAAUGCGUAGAUAUUAGGAGGAACACCAGUGGCGAAGGCGGCUUACUGGACUGUAACUGACGUUGAGGCUCGAAAGCGUGGGGAGCAAACAGGAUUAGAUACCCCUGUAGUC
rnacentral:rRNA from 1 species